rnacentral:rRNA from 1 species
AGUGAACGCUGGCGGUAGGCCUAACACAUGCAAGUCGAACGGCAGCACAGGAUAGCUUGCUCUCUGGGUGGCGAGUGGCGGACGGGUGAGGAAUACAUCGGAAUCUACUCUGUCGUGGGGGAUAACGUAGGGAAACUUACGCUAAUACCGCAUACGACCUACGGGUGAAAGCAGGGGACCUUCGGGCCUUGCGCGAUUGAAUGAGCCGAUGUCGGAGUAGCUAGUUGGCGGGGUAAAGGCCCACCAAGGCGACGAUCCGUAGCUGGUCUGAGGGGAUGAUCAGCCACACUGGAACUGAGACACGGUCGAGACUCCUACGGGAGGCAGCAGUGGGGAAUAUUGGACAAUGGGCGCAAGCCUGAUCCAGCCAUACCGCGUGGGUGAAGAAGGCCUUCGGGUUGUAAAGCCCUUUUGUUGGGAAAGAAAUCCAUCUGGUUAAUACCCGGAUGGGAUGACGGUACCCAAAGAAUAAGCACCGGCUAACUUCGUGCCAGCCGCCGCGGUAA